GGGCGAGUGGCGGAAUUGGUAGACGCGCAGGCUUGAGGGGCCUGUGGGAGCAAUCCUGUGAAGGUUCAAGUCCUUUCUCGCCCACCA
rnacentral:tRNA from 1 species